rnacentral:rRNA from 1 species
AACGUAGGAGACGAGCGUUAUCCGGAUUUACUGGGCGUAAAGGGCGUGUAGGCGGUAACUUAAGUUGGACGUGAAAUCUCCCGGCCUAACUGGGAGGGGUCGUCCAAUACUGGGUAUACUUGAGGGCAGGAGAGGGAAGUGGAAUUCCCGGUGUAGCGGUGGAAUGCGUAGAUAUCGGGAGGAACACCAGUGGCGAAGGCGGCUUCCUGGUCUGUUUCUGACGCUGAGACGCGAAAGCUAGGGUAGCAAACGGGAUUAGAUACCCCUGUA